AUUGAACGCUGGCGGCAUGCCUUACACAUGCAAGUCGAACGGUAACAGGUUAAGCUGCCGAGUGGCGAACGGGUGAGUAAUGUAUCGGAACGUGCCCAGUCGUGUGGGAUAACUGCUCGAAAGAGCAGCUAAUACCGCAUACGACCUGAGGGUGAAAGCGGGGGAUCGCAAGACCUCGCGCGAUUGGAGCGGCCGAUAUCAGAUUAGGUAGUUGGUGAGGUAAAGGCUCACCAAGCCGACGAUCUGUAGCUGGUCUGAGAGGACGACCAGCCACACUGGGACUGAGACACGGCCCAGACUCCUACGGGAGGCAGCAGUGGGGAAUUUUGGACAAUGGGCGCAAGCCUGAUCCAGCCAUGCCGCGUGCGGGAAGAAGGCCUUCGGGUUGUAAACCGCUUUUGUCAGGGAAGAAAAGGUUCUGGCUAAUACCUGGGACUCAUGACGGUACCUGAAGAAUAAGCACCGGCUAACUACGUG
rnacentral:rRNA from 1 species